AUGCUCACAAGCACAUGCAUACACACAUAUGCACACAGACAUGCACACGUACACACACACACAAUGCCAAAAGACUCCCCAGGUGCUGUGGGGUGUUUUGUUGCCCUGAUAGGACAUCCCCACCCUUUCCCACCUGAGGAAGCUGCUUCCGGUCCUCCUCCCGCAGAGCCUGUUUCCAUCAGACUGGUUUUUCCAGCUCCACGGCAGCUUUAGGGGCACCUCUUGCUUUAAAACACAGUUGCUUUUAAACAAAUGGUUUAUUUUUCUACCUUCAUCUCAUAGGGGGAAAGUAAACAGAGAUAACAAGAAGAAUCCAAACACCACCAUAAGCAGACCCUGUACACCACCACAUGCGGGCAUCUCCAGGCCUCCUUCCUGUGCACAUGCGCUCUUGUCAAAACCAAAGUCAGGACCACCCCGCUGGCAGUAUUACAACCUUUUUCUCACUUAGCAAAAUAUACCCCAAACAUAUCGGUCAAAUAGAUUUCGAGGCCAUGACUUGAAGCGCCUGCUUAUCAGUUAUGAAUUCAAUUAGCAGUGUUACUGAAGCCCGGCGGCCUUUUCUCUUUGCGAUGUCUCUUCAACACCAGAAACACAACACCGAGGGCGUGAAUCGCGGGCUGUAAGCGUUGAGAAGCGUGUGAGACAGCUGUGCUCUCCCUGCCCGGCCGGAGCCUACCUCGCCCCUCCCUCUGAGCAGGGCAGCUCUUUUUGAAAGAACCCAGCAGAACAGGCCACGAUGCCCAGUGCUCCGCCCGCGGUUGCGCGAAGGUAGCCGUGCUUGGUCUGCGGCUCCCAGUGUCUGCAGCUGCAGGGCAGCAGGAGCGGGACCGGCUGCACUGACACCCUCCUGCGCAGACUGCCUUCGACCCUAAGCCUGCAACAGCCUUCCCUGCCAGUGAAUAGGGUUUCAACCCCUCGUCUCAAAAAGUAUACAAAAUUGAUAGAAUAUUGGUGACUGUUGAAGCUUUGUCGAACUCCUUCCUUAAUUUUGAGCCUGUCUGAAAUUUCCCAGGCAGGUUUUUAAUGGGUUCUAGCUUGCCCUCACAUUCCAGCUGUGCUGUUCCGCGACCACACCCCGGGCUGGGAGGCUAAUGAAUACUAGGCUCAGUGCGAUGAGUAGCCAGCUUGGAGCGAAGACGAAUGAGGACAUGUAGGGCAGGCGGCCCGCGCUUACAAAGCGAUUGUGGGGUGAGGAGGUGGAGGGGGAGGUGGACGGAGCCGGCUGCUCUGCGCAGCCUUCGGGGCCUCUCCUGGGGGAGCCGCCGGUGCUGGCUUGCUCCUGCCUCUGGCUCAGGCGUAGGGUGCCACCGCCUGUCAUUACACCUGGACCCUCUGGGAGGUGCUGCCCGCUGUGCCCACGGGAGGCAGGCCGCGUGUGGGUGGCCGGAGGGUGCACAGUGACGCGGACGGGGUGGAAAGGAUUUCCCCAGGGGGCAUUUUCCACUUGCUCCUGCCUAAGGCACCCUUCGCCCACCCCAAGUGUAUGCUUAAUGCGCCACCUGGUGGCUGUAUUGCAUUGAUGCAGUCUCUCUCACGGGAAAUGACAUAAGGUCACAGAUGUCUGUGAAUUUCUAAAACAUUAGACUCAAGUCCCUGAGAGCGCAUGGUUGCAGAGUAACCCAGAGGUGCAGUGAGGGAAGCUUGCAGAUGAGACCUGGGGCUGAAGGAGGACCUGGCAGUGAGUUAAGCAAACCUGCAACCUGUGCCGGUUGUGACCCACUGAACUGGAGCAGGACAGGCCAGCAAAGGGCAAUUGAUGGGACAAUCAUCGGGCCUCCUGUUCGCACCCACCUGGGCCUGGCACCACCUGCUCACCUGCUCCACCAUCCUGCAGCGGUUCUGCUCUCGUCGCGGCCCAUCAGGGCCAGCAGUGCCUCCACUGUUGCCCGCUGCCAGCGCUGCAUUGCCGACACCUGCUAUGUUCCAAGCCACCCCCUGAUGGUUAGUGCAUGUCCUAGCGAGCGGUCAAACUCCAGCCAAACUUCCGGUAGAACUCCCAAGAGGACAAUUUGCGUAUAAGGCUUUUAUUAUAUAGGGUGACAUUCUGUAAAAUGCAAAACUAUAAAGACAGAAAAAAAACAGUGGUUGUCAGGGGCUGGCUUUGAGGAGGGGUUGGCUACAGGAAUACAAAGGAGUUGGGGGCGGGGGUGGUGAUGAAAUGGUUGGUCAUGGUCUUGCACAGGCUACAUGAUCAACCUACAUGAUUAUAUGUGUCAAAACUAAAAACCUCAAAGGGUGAAUUUUACUAUAUGUAAAUUACAUGUUAAUAAACCUGACCAAACUAGUGAAACAGAUAAACUCUGGUAGGAGUGAUAAAGAAAAAAGAGAAAGUCACACAAGUAAAGAACUUUAAAGCUUGAGAAAUAUAAAAGAAGAUAAGAUUCAAUUUUCAAAAAAUCAAAACAAUAUCUUGAACCACUUUAUACAAAUGAAUUUGAAAAAUAUAUUAAAAUAGAUAACUUAAUAGAAAAAAAUCAUCGAAAUUAUCUCAAUAAAAUGAAAAAAAAUAACUAAAUCAAUAAUCAUUCAGGAAGUUUCACUGGUAAUCAAAAGUCUCUCCCACCAAAAGACACCAGGCACAUAUGGUUUUAUAGGUCAGUUUUAUCCAAAUGUUAAGAAAGUAAUAAAUUUUAUAUCCUACAAACUCUUUUAGACAAUUAAAGAGGGGAGCUACAUGUUUCAUUUUAUGGGGUUCACAUAGCUCUGAUAAGCAAACAAGGACAAGAAAAGAAAAUUAUAGACCAUAUUCACUUAUGAACAUAAGCGCAUACAUUAAAAAUAGCAGUGUAGCCCUAGCCGGUUUGGCAGGGUCCUAGGUUCAAUUCUGGUCAAGGCACAUGCCCGGGUUGCAGGCUUGAUCCCCAGUGCGGGGUGUGCAGGAGGCAGCCAAUCAAUGAUUCUCCCUCAUCAUUGAUGUUUCUACCUCUCUCCCUCUCUCUUCCUCCCUGAAAUCAAUAAAAAUCUUUUUAAAAGAAUAGCAGUAUAUUUUAAAACACACAAGCACACAUGCCCACACGCUCUGAUAACCAGGUAGAGUUUAGCAAGGAUACAAAGAUGGUUUCAUAGCAAUAAAUUCUAUCGAUAUUCAGUAGCAAAAUACACUACAUAGGUGCAGAAAAGCACUUGCUAAAAUCAAACACUGGUUCAUUGUUAACAACAGUCAGCAAACUAGAAAUUAAAAGACAGUUUCUUAACCACACUGAUGCCCACAGUCAAAGACUGUGUGGGACACGGCUAUAGUCACACAGAUCCUGUCCCUGGUACUUGUUGCCACGAUCGAGAUUACACACCUUGGUGAGAAGAUGCGAUCAGGGGCUUGUGUUAAGUAUCUGGGGAAGUCUCAAGGCAGCCUGGUUUUAUUCUAGCUGCUGCCAGAACGUGAGGGAAGUUCUGUGAUUGGAUCUUUUUGUUUUUAUCCAGGAGCCUGCUGGUCUCCCUGGCCCCUGCCUGCUGCACAGCCUGCACCUUUAAAACCUCCCGGGACCAUAGUCAAAGCCAUGGGAAUGGCCCCCAAAGCCACUCAUCAGAGUCAGAGUCUCCAGGGCGUCCCUGGCCCUUGGCAGCACCUCCCCACCCAUAUACCCUUUUGAAACCACACUGAACUCGCCCCAACGUCGAAGCCCCUUUCACAGGCCCAGGCCAACGUUCACACUUUUAGCUCAGCCUGGAAAGCCCUCCCCCUUGCCAUCCCUGUGCUGCCUGGCAAACUCCAGCUGCUACAGACCCGGCUCCAAUGUCACUUGCUCUUGCACAGGCUCCAGCCAACUGCCCUUUCCCUGUGUCAUCUCCCUCCUCGUCAUUCCUGCAGCUUUGUUUCCUCUCCCCUGCCCUUCCUGGGUCCUUCCUCCCUGCUAAAAUGAAAUGCCGAGUCUCUGGGCUGCCUUGCUGGGUGCUGAGGAAUCCAGGGUGAACAGGAGGCCACACAUCAGGGACAGAACUAUUAAGGUGCCGCACGUGAGAACCUCAAGGACAGACCAGUGUCAUGAAUUCAGCCCCGCAGGCCCAGCCCAGCACAGGCCUGGCACUUUGCCGGUGCUCGGGGCACAUCUGUGAGAUGAAAGGAAUCUGUUGUGUGUGUCCCCGACAAGUUGUAACCCCCAGUACCUGUGGGUGUGACCUCAUUUGGAACCAGGUCUUUGCAGAUGUAAUCAAGUUAAGGCGAGGUCGUCCUGGAUUGGACAGAUCUUCACCUGGUGACUGGUGUCCUUGUAAGUGGAGUGAAAUUUGGACACAGACACACAUGGAAGACACCAUGGCAGACGGAGGCAGAGAUUGGACUGAUGCGUAUAAGCCAACAAGCGACUGUGGCCACCAGAGGCGGCCCCCACUGACACCUUAAUUUGGACUUGUAGCCUCCAGAACUGUGAGAGAACGACUUUCUGGGGCUUUGAGCCACCUAGUUAGCGGGCAAUUUGUUACGGCAACCCUAGAAAUGAAUACAGUGUCCAAGGGUCACUGAUUCCUGGGUCACAUUUCUACCAGGCCCCAACCCAGGGGGCGGAAGCUGCCCCAAACUCCACUGCAGGCCGCUCUCAACUUCCUUCCCACCGCCUGGACUGAGCCUCCCCUUCCCUGACCAGCAGGGGACCACGCCUCCUCCGACACUAGGCGGCGCCAGCAGGCCGCGCCAUCCUGCUCCGGCUCCAGCGUUGGCAAAAGGGACUGAGCAUGGAGAGUCACCCAUAGGCGGAGCUCCCAAAUCCAGGAACUGCUUUAAGAUCUCAGUGAAGUGGUUCUGUCUGUCUGAGAGAGGAAAUCGGAUUCUCUCCCCUGCAGACUGUCCUGCCUCCAAUCCCUGUUCACCCUUGGCAGCCUCAGAGCUUGAGCUGCUGGGGGAGAAGUCAGAGGCCCAUGACGGCCUCCCAGGUGCAGCCCGCACAGGCUGGCUGUGCUUUGGGCCGUCCCGUUCCCCUUCGGAGCGCUCUGCCCUGGAAGUCCAGCCAUUCUACUUUCACCCCAGAUGCGAUUCCCAGAAACAGGCUUUGGUGCUCCCAUUGGUUGGGUGUGCCGGGCCCUCAGUCCCACACUCCUCCCUGAUUCUUUAGCUUCUUUUCAAAUUGCGAUGAAUAACUGGUACACAUAGGACAUUUCACACAUAAGCAAGGACAUCUGUAAGAAAGGCAUUUCUAAUUUUGGCAGGUCUUAAUACAAUUAUAUAUUAGGCUGAAAUUGCCUAUAUGUGACCUUUUUUAUUAACCUGCACAAAAUGGCCAUUUCAUGUGAUUCAUGGUUUUGUGUGUUGGUACUUUUGUUCCUAUAGGUCUCUAGCCUAAAAUGCCCUCCGGUUCCCACUUCUCACCCCACAGAUCCUUCUUCACUCACUUCCCAAGUCAUGCUGGCACUCACUGGAGCUUUUCUUUUUGUAAAAUUCUGCCUUAAGUUUUAGGCAGAGGUUUAAUCUCCUGCAUACUCACUGAGGGCAAAGGCUGAGUCUUAUCUGUGGCUGUGCCCUGGACCUAGUACACGGCUUUGUAUAAAUCCUAAAAAGAAAAACUGUGGUCUUGUUGAAUGAAUUUGCAAAUGAAUGAGUGAAGAAGCAAUUGCAGUGCGAGAGGGAGUGGUCAUCCCACAGAGAGGCUAUGGCACCAAAAGUUUCUACAUUUCCUUGGAGCACAGAGGCUUAAGGGUCUCACGAGACCACCCAGAAGCCACAGCAGCCCCUGUGCUUAGUGUGUUUGGGUUGUGCCUACACACACACACACACACACACACACACACACAUGUUCAGCCCCAGCCAGCAGGCUCCACCUCCAAACAGGCCGCCUCUGCUGGGGAAGCCCACACUUGCUAAACCCUCUGUGCUGCCUGCCAAGUUGAGAAUCAUUUCCUGCCCGGGUCUCAGACAGUUCACGCUGCCCCAGAUGGUCUGCUCAGGAAAAUUCCCAUGUUGUGAAAUUUCCUUCUCUGGGGACCCUGGGUGUCAUGGGAAAUAGGAAAUGCUGGACAGCUAUUCACCUCUCGGUGUGGGAUGGGACCGUCCCCAAGCCCUGCAAAGCCUGCAAUGCUCCUCCACCAGGGAGCUUGGAGGAGGGACCAGGGCUGCCCUGGGAAUGUGCCACUUCUUGCCCCAGGUUCAGAUUAAUUCCUUGCCUCAGGAACUUAAAAUGAAAUUAUAUUAUAUGUCAAAACUGUGAUGCCCCCUCUAAAUUAAAUAAGCCAUGUGUUUUAUAUAUUCCAUAUUCCAAUAGCCCAUAAGUAAUUCAGAGAGGAAAUCACAGUUCGGACUUUUCCUCUCAAACAUGGAUAUCUUGGCCUUCAAACUUGGACAGUUUCCAAUGCAUUUUUGUUAUAAAGAGUUAAGCAAACAUAUAUUUUAAAAAUUAAUAAAACAAAUGUGAAUCAAAACAAUAUCAUUUUCUUUUGACUGGUAUAUUUUUUAAAUUGAUAAUUGCCAAUGCUGGUGAGGUUGUGGGAAAAUGAACACUGCCAAUGAAAAUAUAAUUUGGGAUAACUUUCAUUGUGGGCAAUUUGAGGUAUAUCAAAAGCCCCUAAAAUGUGCAUUUCUCUUGAUCCAGCAAUUUUCUUUCCAGCAAUUUAUCCUAAGAAAAUAAUCUAAAGUGCUAUCAAACCAUUGGUCAUAAGAGUUAAAAAAAAAAAUGGCAACCUGAAAGUCCAAAUUUCCAAUAUGAUAGAAAAUUUUGCAGCCUUUAAAGUGAUGUAGAUGAAUGUUUUAUGGGCUAAUAGACUGUAUAUUUAAAAAAAAAUACUAUUAAAAAGGGAUCCAUUCAAAGAGGAAAAUACAGGCAUAGAAAAAAGAACAACAUUGCCAGUAGGAGGUGGUGUUAUGGAUAAUUUUAAUUUUCUUUCUACUGAGAUAAAAAAGAAAGUAUUACUUUGGCAUAUUUAAACAUUUUUUAAAAAUAAUUUUUAUUAAUUGCAGAUAAGGGAGAGGGAAAGAAAAAUAGAAACAUUAAUGAUGAGAAUCAUCGAUCGGCUGCCUCCUGCACACUGGGGAUCAAGCCCACAACCCAGGCAUGUGCCCUGACCAGGAAUUGAACCAUGACCUCCUGGUUCAUAGGUCAAUGCUCAACCACUGAGCACUGGCCGGGCUAAAGGUAUUUUUAAAUAUUCUGAGAAAGACGCUGAGAGCUUGUUACUACUUUUGUUGCUGUCUAGGGGUUUCAACUUUCCAAACUGUGAGAUGGGAUUCCGCAGCAGGGCAGGAAUUCCUUCUCUCUCCUCCCAUCCACUUUUCUCAACGUGAGGCAACCACUUAGCAGACAGCCCUUCCCCAGCAGCCCUGCAGGUUCUGUGGGCUUUGUUAUCGUUGUCCCCACCCACCACCUGCCAUCAAAAGACAACAAUCCCAGCGUUGACCCCAUGUUGACAGGUCUCCCUUCCACAGCAUUCCUUACCUGAUGGGACCUGUUUCUGCCCAUUUUCUACCUGAAGCUCGUUGGUUAGAACAGUCUGUAAAGGCAGAAAGGAGGCGGUGAGGCCUUUGAGAGGCAGGCAGCGUCUGAUGGGGUAGGGGUGGGAGUCAUUUUAGAACUACCUGGGUUUGAAUUAAAUCCUGGCUCCACCUUGGGCAAGUUAAUGCAGGUCUUCAUGCCUCGGCUUUUAUGUGGCCUGGGGCAGGUGAUAAUGGCGCCUGCGUUGUUAGUUGCUGUGUGGAUUCCACACUAUAGGCUUCCAACUGUGCCUGGCACAUGUAAGUGGUUUUUAAGUACCAGCUAUUAUCACCGUUUUAAGAGUUGGUAAACUGCUCUUCCCUUCACCUUCCUUGCAACGGCAAUUAUGUUGGCGUGGAGCCUCCUGAGGACUGGUGCCACUGAGAUUAAGGCUAAACUGUUUUCCCACCCAACACUGCGAGGUAGGAAAACCAGUCACCCUGACCGUUACACCCAGAGCACGUGUCAGCACAGCCGAAGUGCCCAGUGCCUCCCUCCACUCACACCCUUACCACCUGCCGUGAGGGCUCCUUGCUGUCAGCCUGCCUCCCUGGCAAUGACCUCUUCACCUCUGCGUGCUCCGCCUCUUCACUUCUUAGAUCUCCAACAUUCCCUCUCCCACCCGGGUCUUCCAUCUCUCCAUCUCAGAGGAUUGCUUCUUCCCCCACAGACCUACAAUUCUUCCAUGGUCUCCAGGUACGGUUUGCUGCAUCCCCCUGAAGGCUCUCUUCCUAAGACCUGGAGAGAGCUUCCCCACUUCCCCCAAACGCUGAGUUUAGUGAGUCAAUCCGCUCCUUACACCUGUCAGCACUGCCCCUUGCCCUUAGGAUAAAGGGAAGCUUCCCAGGUGGCUGGAGAGGCCCUGCCUCCACCACCUAGCCUCUGCCCUCUCCCUCAGCCCUGCCGUGCAGCAGCACUAGAGUCCUUUUAGUUUCUCAAACUGGCUGUGCUUUCUGCUGCCUUUGCACCCACACACGUAGUGUUUUGCCCCUUAGCCUCGCUGUACUGGCCCUCACAUCUCAGCUUAAAUGCCAGUUUGUCCAAAAAGAGCUUUGCCUACGCUCCCUUACACUUCCCCGAUCACACUGUCGUCAGGCACCGUUGUAACUGCCUGCCUUCCCAGCACAUUAGAAAUCCAUGCAGGUCUUGCUCACUGCCCAAUCCCAGCAUGAAAACGGUAGCUGGCACACUGAGAGCGUUUUUAAAGAGAAAAAUGUAUCCCACUUAUUUUUGUGGUCUCUCUUCCUUGUGGCAUGGACCACCUCCCUGUCCUAUCUCCAUCUCCUGCAAGGCACCUCUCCCCAGACCUGGUCCUUCAUCCCUUCACGAGCUCCUACCCACACACAAUCUUUUCAACCUAGGGUUUCUAUAAAAACUUUACGGAAGGAUCACAUCUCUCACAACUGCCUCAUAAGAACUUUUUUUAUUAUUUAGAAAUGCAGUUAUAUACAUAGAAUUAAAAUUAAAUUAAACUUUGUACAAAUAUUAAAAUACUAUCUUCACACCCACUGCAAUGUACAGGAUACCAAAAAAUAUAUAUAAAAUAAAGCAAACCCAAACUGACUGACAUCCUGCACAUAGUCAAUGAUGCAAGUGUUGUUUUAAACCAUUAUGUGAGUACCAUUCUGCAAGUUUCCAUAGUGGUGUGAUAAGCCAGGGCAGGGUGUGGUAGGCGGCCACACAAUCCUCGUCCAUCUCUCCUCCCUGCUUGGCAAUCCAAGUGCUCUGCCCCUGCACCCUCUCCAGAGAGCUCUGCUGCCUGGCGCAGGGUUUAACUUUGAGGUUUCAUUCAAAAUUCUACUAGGUUUUCAACUGGAGAUUACGAGUUUUCCAGCAAAGCUGAGCCUGCCAAGCAAAGUCCCUCUGAGCUCUUCACUGAUCAUCGGUAAUGUCUGUCCCUAUGCUGAGCCCCAGGAGGCCCCAAGAGAAGCUCCCAGCCAGCACAUCUGGGGUUCAGCUGGAAAGCCUGCAUACCACUUCCCUUCUGGUCCUUUAUUCUCUUUUGGCGGGGGUGG